GGCUCAGGACGAACGCUGGCGGCGUGCUUAACACAUGCAAGUCGAACGAUGAUGCCCAGCUUGCUGGGCGGAUUAGUGGCGAACGGGUGAGUAACACGUGGGUGAUCUGCCCUGCACUUCGGGAUAAGCCUGGGAAACUGGGUCUAAUACCGGAUAUGACCACAGGAUGCAUGUUUUGUGGUGGAAAGGUUUACUGGUGCAGGAUGAGCCCGCGGCCUAUCAGCUUGUUGGUGGGGUAAUGGCCUACCAAGGCGACGACGGGUAGCCGGCCUGAGAGGGCGACCGGCCACACUGGGACUGAGACACGGCCCAGACUCCUACGGGAGGCAGCAGUGGGGAAUAUUGCACAAUGGGCGAAAGCCUGAUGCAGCGACGCCGCGUGAGGGAUGACGGCCUUCGGGUUGUAAACCUCUUUCAGCAGGGACGAAGCGCAAGUGACUGUACCUGCAGAAGAAGCACCGGCUAACUACGUGCCAGCAGCCGCGGUAAUACGUAGGGUGCGAGCGUUGUCCGGAAUUACUGGGCGUAAAGAGUUCGUAGGCGGUUUGUCGCGUCGUGUGUGAAAUCCCGCAGCUCAACUGCGGGCUUGCAGGCGAUACGGGCAGACUUGAGUACUGCAGGGGAGACUGGAAUUCCUGGUGUAGCGGUGAAAUGCGCAGAUAUCAGGAGGAACACCGGUGGCGAAGGCGGGUCUCUGGGCAGUAACUGACGCUGAGGAACGAAAGCGUGGGUAGCGAACAGGAUUAGAUACCCUGGUAGUCCACGCCGUAAACGGUGGGCGCUAGGUGUGGGUUUCCUUCCACGGGAUCCGUGCCGUAGCUAACGCAUAAGCGCCCC
rnacentral:rRNA from 1 species